GCGAGGGAACCCGGCGCCGCGCACCUAGCGGAGGCAGAGCAGCCAGGCCCCGGAACUGGGCUUCGUGUCUCCUGGAGCCCGGCCGGUCAGCUACAGCGGGGGACGUAGCGUCAAGAUCCCGGCCAACCUCGUUCCGGGCACCUCAACUGUGAGAGGAAUUGAACCCAGGCUUCACGCUUGCCGGGCAGGUGCUACACCACUGAGCUACAUUCUGGGUAAGAGUGGUUCUUUGUAGAGGCCCCACGGAAAUUAUUCAGAUACCUUUUCCAGUGUCUGGAGCCCAGUUUCAUUCCUUAACAUGAUUUCUUCCUCUAUCUUGUAAGCCCCCAGUACAGCAUCUUCAAAUCUCUUUAAUUCAUUCUCCUACAGCUACUUUAAAGGACCCUUCAUUUCACAUUAGGCACACCUGGGUUAAUAUAAGAUACUCUUAAAAUCCCACAAAUUCUCCAUUGUCAUGUAACAUAUUCAGAGCUUAAAGGGGAUUACAAAAAUGCACAUCUUUGGAGGUCGGGGAACUUUAUUCUGUCUACCAGAGUGUGUUUUUUAACCUGAAUUAAAUGCAUAGCUUUAUAUGCUUCAGGAGAUAGCACCAUGGAAGCCCUUACUACCUCUCUUCUAGAAAUUUAGCAGUGUCCUCCUUUUUUCUCUUCUAUACAGUCACCAUUUUAUAGUCUAGUAUGUCUAGUCAGUGCUUGGAUAUACCAUUUUAAGGUCCAACUUAAAAUAUAUGUUCAGGAAUGCCUCUUUCUUCCUGCUUGCCAUGUGUUGGGGCUAAAUUCUUAACCUUUCCAUGUGCUGGAACCCACAUGGUUCCCUCAGCCAUCUUCUAUUGUCUGUUUAUGGAGAAAGUUGAAUUCUAUUGACUCUUUCUUUUUUCCAGAACACCACACACACACAUGCCACUAGACUGUUCUCUGCCCUGAGCUAGUGAACAGAUACUGUGACUUUGCAAAUGUCCUGUUCCUCUUUUAUGGGGAGGUACUGGUAAUUGAACUCAUGACCUUGCACUUGAGGCAUAUGUGCCUCUGAGCUAUAUCCCUGUUCUGUCCUGUUACUUUGAUCUGCUGCAUUUUCCAGCUCGAUCUUUGCCUUGCAUUCUGCCUCUCAAUUUGGCUCAAAAACAUGACCUCCAUCUUUUUUGUUUUUGUCAAUACCCAACAUUUCAGUUGUGUUACAUUUCAAAAGGCCAAGCUUCAAUAUGUUCUGGGAGUGUUUUCCCACACACAUAUCAUGUGUUUAUCUUAAGAUGGGAGCUUUAAUUAUUAAAGAUUUUAAAGCCUAUCUAUAAGAAGUAUAAGGAGUAGAACAAAUUAAUGUCUGUUAUUCAAUCAGUAAGAAAUGUCCAUUCUUUCUCACUUAGUGUGAUGAUAUGUACAUUAUUCUACUCUUUAAUCUGCAUUAUCAUAGAAGCUUAUGUAAAAGUGGACAGUUUGAAGACUAUCACAUGUGCAGACAUUUAUACACUGAGUCACUGUAUCAUUUUUGUGGUUGUAAAAGACUGGAAGCAAAAUAUACGCCCAUUAAUGAGGAACUAGUUAAAUAAAAUACAGCAUUAUGAAAUGUACCUAUCAGUUAAAAAAUGAGAUAUGUAUGCCGAGAGAACAAUCUCUGAGAUGUUUAAAAGGGAAGACAUGUCUUCAUAGAAUGUCUCAGAUCAUGCUAAAAAAUGAAUAGCUUCUGGAAAGGUAAACUAAGGAUGUAGAAUAAGAGAUUAUUUUUUAUAUAUUUCACUUGUCCGAUGUUAUGGCUGGAAUAUAAUCACUAAGGAAAUGCAAGUUUCUUUUUGAUUUACAAGAGAUUUCUUCUAUAUAAAAAGGGCAGGUUUGGAUUUGUUUAGGUUUUUUGCCCAACAGAGUACCCUUAUAAAAUUGUCUGAGUUAUUAGGUUGGCCCUAGUUGAAAUAAAUUCUCAUUCUAAGAUGUAUGUAAUUAAUAAUUAAAAAUAGAAAUAGCCUCAUACACUAUUUAGAUUAUUGAUUUGUACUGGUGUGGGAGGAGGAAAGCAUUAAAGGUUCAAUUAAGUAAACACUGAACAUCACAAGCACAUUUUGUUUGAAAUCAAGUUCCAGUGUAUACUAUAAAGCAGCAAUAAGUUAAAGUAGAGGUGGUAGAAUCCUUUGUGAUUGGAGGGAACAUGUUACUGUGUUUUAUGUUAAUGCUAAUUACUUAAACAGUUACACUUCAUCAACAUUUGGUAUUUUAUUUAUGAUUUUAACUUGUAAGAAUUCAUCUUUCAAGACUCUUCAGAAAUGAAUUAUCCUCAUUAAUGGGAUAACAGAAUGUAUUGGCAGUUUUUUAAAACCAUGUUUUACUUUAAAAAAAAAAAAGGAAAGGAAGAAAACAAGAAGGCAAAAAAUCCAAUGGAAGUUUCCAAACAUAAAAAACUACAGACCAGAUGAAAGGCAAUGUUCAAUUAAAGGACAGUGAUAUAACUAUCCAAAAUGGCCUGGAACUUGGGGAAAAACUCAAGGUGAAUCCAAAUAUUGGGAGACAGAAUGAUGUGAGACUUCGUGGGAUACAGCAUAGAUAACUCCCACAAUAUGAGCAUCAUGCAGCAAACAAAACCCAUCACACUGAAAUGCUACUGAACUGAUCUUGAGAAACCACAGAUAUGCUUCUACAUUACCAAAAAUCAACACCAGAGAUGCAAAAUGAAACAUGUUUAUUUUCCGCAAUAAUUUCUGUAAAUUACAAAGACAAAAUGCUAAACGAUAGCAUAUACCUUUUCAAUAUUUAACCAGAAUACUUGUAAUAAAUAUGCAUCCUGAAACAAGAUAAAAGGCUACACUUUGUCAGGCAUCCUACAAAAUGUCUCAAGUUUUAGACUCUGCAGCAUUUCUGUGUGGGUGCACAAGGAUGGUUGUUUUGAAUUUUCUUAAGUGCUAUGACAAAAAGUCCUUUCACAUUUCUUUGGAGCAUUUUUGACAUUGCUUAGCUAUAAUUAAAAAACUUAAGAAACAACAUCAAGCUUUAAAGCCAUUUUUGUUUUGCUGUCAUUGGUCCUCAUCCAAUACAGAUCAAUUUAUCAUCCAGUUCAGCCAAGUACCCUCUUGAGCCCAGGCAUCCCUGGGGUAUAUGGGCCCUGUCAGAGCAGGCAUCUACUUUUAGUUUUAUACUAUAAGUACUAUAUUUUAUUUGUCUCCCUCAAGAUCAAUAUGAUAAAAGAAGCUGCAAGCAAGUUAGAAACAUUUUUAACCCGAAAGUAAAGGGAACGAGAACAUUUUCCUGCGUUUUGCUAUGCACCAUGUUACCAUAUCAAGACUUUUAAUUUCAAAGUUAAAAACUGAAUGGUAUAAGCAGUCCUUCCAAAGAUAAUUUAUGGGUGCUUUUUCAGUUGGGCAAUUUGAAAAUAUUCAACAUGUAAGAAGAGUAUUUACUGUAUUUAGAAAUGUACUAUAGUUCUGAACACUGUAGCAUAAAGUCCUAGGGGUCUAAGUGGCAGCUUAUAUGAAGACUCAAAUACAUAACUACCUUUUCUAUAGCUGAAAACUUUGAGGACAAAGUUCUAUUUUUAAGAAGUCUUAAGCAUGGUUACCUAAAAAUAUUUUGUUAAUAUAAUCUAAUGCAAUUUUACUAUUUAGGGGUUUAGAUAUGAAAAUGUUUUUAAGAGCCAAUAAAAAUACUAUAGAGAAAAAACACUUUUAAAAAAUCGAGGUUAAGAAUUCUGAGGCAUUUCUUUUGGCUGUAAACAUAUAGUUUACUGUCCCUUGUUGAAACACAAAUAUUUGGAUUUCCUGAGUUUCAUGGAUAAUAGCAGGAGCCAAGUUUGCAUAGAAAAUUGGUAAUAUGGUAAUGACUGAUUUAACAAACUUUUAAGGACAGUUUGAUUUUGUUUUUAAACUUCAUAGUUUA